rnacentral:rRNA from 1 species
AUGGGACGCACCGCCUUGGUCAAGUCGGUGCUUGCCUCCCAAGCCAUAUACUUCAUCACUACGCUCGUCGUCCCCACAAGCACCCUCAAAAAUCUCAACAAGCUUGAGCGAGCGUUCCUUUGGGAGGGAACAGACAAGACCACCGGGGCCAAAUGCAAGGUUAAUUGGGACACCGUUUGCCGCCCCAAUUGCUAA